rnacentral:rRNA from 1 species
UACGUAGGGUGCAAGCGUUGUCCGGAAUUAUUGGGCGUAAAGGGCUCGUAAGCGGUCCAUCGCGUCGGGAGUGAAAAGCUGGGGCUUAACCCCAGUCCUGCUUCCGAUACGGGUGGACUAGAGGUAGGUAGGGGAGAUCGGAAUUCCUGGUGUAGCGGUGAAAUGCGCAGAUAUCAGGAAGAACACCCGUGGCGAAGGCGGCUCUCUGGGACGGUACUGACGCUGAGACGCGAAAGCGUGGGGAGCGAACAGG